GCCGGGUGUGGUGGUGCAUGCCUGUAAUCCCAGCUACUCAGGAGGCUGAGGCAGGAGAAUUGUUUGAACCCGGGAGGUGGAGGUUGCAGUGAGCUGAGAUUGAGCCACUGCACUCCAGCCUGGGUGACAGAGUGAGACUUUGCCUCAA
ensembl:misc_RNA Metazoa_SRP Metazoan signal recognition particle RNA